rnacentral:rRNA from 1 species
AUUGAACGCUGGCGGCAGGCCUAACACAUGCAAGUCGGGCGGAGCGGCGGACGGGUGAGUAAUGUAUGGGGAUCUGCCUGAUGGAGGGGGAUAACUACUGGAAACGGUAGCUAAUACCGCAUACUAUCAGAUGAGCCUAGGUCGGAUUAGCUAGUUGGUGGGGUAAAGGCCUACCAAGGCGACGAUCCGUAACUGUUCUUAGAGGAUGAUCAGUCACACUGGAAGUGAGACACGUUCCAGACUCCUACGGGAGGCAGCAGUGGGAAAUAUUGGACAAUGGGCGAAAGCCUGAUCAAGCCGUGCCGCGUGUGUGAAGAGGGUCUUCGGAUUGUAAAGCACUUUAAGUUGGGCGGCGUUACCAACAGAGUAAGCACCGGCUAACUUCGUGCCAGCAGCCGCGGUAAUUC